UACAGAGGUCUCAAGCGUUGUUCGGAUUUACUGGGCGUAAAGGGCGCGUAGGCGGCCUGUGCAAGUCAGUUGUGAAAUCUCCGAGCUUAACUCGGAACGGUCAACUGAUACUGCUCGGCUAGAGUGCGGAAGGGGCAACUGGAAUUCUUGGUGUAGCGGUGAAAUGCGUAGAUAUCAAGAGGAACACCUGCGGCGAAGGCGGGUUGCUGGGCCGACACUGACGCUGAGGCGCGAAAGCUAGGGGAGCGAACGGG
rnacentral:rRNA from 1 species